rnacentral:lncRNA from 1 species
CCCUCUUGCUCACCCUUGACUUGGAAAAACCAGUUUCUCUUUUAUUAGGCGGGGUUUCACCAUGUUGCCCAGACUGGUCUUGAACUCCUGAGCUUAAGCAAUCCACCUGCCUCGGCCUCCCAAAGUGUUGGGAUCACAGGCGUGAGCCACCGCAUCCGGCCUCAUGUUCUUUUUCAUUAAAGAGAGAAAUCAACUAUUCAGGACCGGCCCCCACCUUUCCUCAGGAGUCAUUUCUGUUCUGCACAGGCCUGCUGAACUGGGUGCUUUAUAUAGGAUUUCAGUGGAGUGAAGUUCAGGAGGCAUGGAGCUGACAACCAUGAGGCCUCGGCAGCCACCGCCACCACCGCCGCCGCCACCACCGUAGCAGCAGCAGCAGCAGCAGCAAGAGUAACUCUGACUUAGGAAUAGAGACAGCCAGAGAGAAAUGUGAUCAAUGA